rnacentral:lncRNA from 1 species
UCUUUCAAUCAAAGAGCUAUUUCAACGAUUCCCAUGUUUGUAGUUCGAAAGGAAAAGGAUCCCAGGAAAUUUAUUCGAACCUAAUUCUUACUAAAUUUUCUAUUCCAAUCAAUGGCCUCUUCCUAGGUGAUACUGAGGAGGGCCGGACCCGUUUUUUAUUUGGUUCUCUCUUUACUGUUCAAAGAAAAAGUGGUUUUGUUAAGUGUAUACGCACUUUGUAUGAGAAAGAAAGGAUAUAAACAUAGUGGUUGUCUAACGAGAUACUAUUUAGAAUAAGAUCGUCAGGUGAGUCACAUAUUGCGCAUUUACCUUUCGAAUUUUGGAAAUUGGAUUUAGACUUUAUCGACUUAUUUCAUAUCAUGGUUCAGGCCUUAAAAAUCAGUGAGGUUUACUCUUCCUUUUCGAUGCCCGUGGAACUACUGUCAAUGGUUUACUUCUUAGGAAUGUUAAAAAAAAAAAGAUUACUACGUGAUUUUUUGAAUAUGCCUAUAUCUAUCGCUUUUGCUUCAUUGAUUUGAUUCUCUCAAUAGAUACUGAGAUUCAUAUUGGAAAUCAAAAAUAUAGUAAUUCAAACUAUAAGACAUAGGAGUAAUUCAGAUUGAUCAGAACAAAUAGAUAUAGCAAAUAAAUGGAAUUGGAUGCUAUGUCAAUCCCAUAUAUGGAAUUGAUAUUCACAUAUAUCAAGAUAAUAUUGUAGAUUGAUAUAUAGAUCCAUAUCAAAUGCAGCCUCUAUCUUUAUUUUAUUCCAGGGGGCAGCUUUAUAACAAGAAUCUAACUAAUAAAUAGUAUGGUAGAAAGAAAUAGAUGAAUCUUUCUACCAUACUAUCUAUCUAUUAGAAUACUGCCGAUUCUAGUCCACUCAUUUCAUUUAAGACAUGAAAUUGGAAUCUUUUUCAUUUUAUUUCGUCAAUUUUGGCUAAGAACUCAGAAGUCAAGUUUCAUUCAAAUUAGUUAAUAAUUAAUCGUUUUGACUGACUGUUUUUACAUAAAUGAUAAGUAGAAAAGCGGUAGGAACUAGAAUAAAUAGUGCAGUAGCAAUAAAUGCAAGAAUAUUUACUUCCAUAAUCUCAUCGGUUUUUUACUUCGCAAUAACUCGGGAUUUAAUCCCAUAGAGAUGAUAAAUCUUUGGCCUGUAAAUUCAAUGAAUGAAUAUUACCUCUCGAUGAUCUUGAAUCAGAUCAAUAUCAUGAAUAACAAUAUCUGAACUAUCAAAUAAAUUCGUCGUCGAGAAUUGAAUAGUAUAACAUAGGAAGUUCUUUUAUCCAUACCGCCCCAAACUCGGAUUGCUGACCUAACCCAAAAUUCCUUUAUUUAUUUAUCAUUUUUUAUUAUCUGUUCUUUUUUCUCUCUAAUCUAUCUAGUUCCUUCUUGUACAAUCAUCUGAUGAAGUCUCAUCAAAUAGCUCUUCCACUUCCAGUGGUCACAUAGUUACAAACCCAAAC